rnacentral:rRNA from 1 species
GAUGAACGCUGGCGGCGUGCUUAACACAUGCAAGUCGAACGGAAAGGCUCCUGCUUGCAGGGGUACUCGAGUGGCGAACGGGUGAGUAACACGUGGGUGAUCUGCCCUGUACUUCGGGAUAAGCUUGGGAAACUGGGUCUAAUACCGGAUAGGACAACUUUUUGGAUAUUGUUGUGGAAAGCUUUUGCGGUAUGGGAUGAGCUCGCGGCCUAUCAGCUUGUUGGUGGGGUAAUGGCCUACCAAGGCGUCGACGGGUAGCCGGCCUGAGAGGGUGUACGGCCACAUUGGGACUGAGAUACGGCCCAGACUCCUACGGGAGGCAGCAGUGGGGAAUAUUGCACAAUGGGCGCAAGCCUGAGGCAGCGACGCCGCGUGGGGGAUGAAGGCCUUCGGGUUGUAAACUCCUUUCGCUAGGGACGAAGCUUUUUUGUGACGGUACCUGGAGAAGAAGCACCGGCUAACUACGUG